rnacentral:rRNA from 1 species
UACGUAGUGUGCAAGCGUUAAUCGGAAUUACUGGGCGUAAAGCGCACGCAGGCGGUUGGUUAAGUCAGAUGUGAAAGCCCCGGGCUCAACCUGGGAAUUGCAUUUGAAACUGGCCAACUAGAGUACGUGAGAGGGGGGUAGAAUUCCAAGUGUAGCGGUGAAAUGCGUAGAGAUUUGGAGGAAUACCAGUGGCGAAGGCGGCCCCCUGGCACGAUACUGACGCUCAGGUGCGAAAGCGUGGGGAGCAAACAGG